rnacentral:rRNA from 1 species
AACCUAGAUGUAUACUUACACACACAUCCGCCCGGGUACUACGAGCACAACUUAAAACCCAAAGGACUUGGCGGUGUCUCAGACCCACCUAGAGGAGCCUGUUCUAGAACCGAUAACCCCCGUUAAACCUCACCACUUCUUGUUUUCCCCGCCUAUAUACCGCCGUCGUCAGCUUACCCUGUGAAGGCCUAGCAGUAAGCAAAAUGGGCCCGCCCAAAAACGUCAGGUCGAGGUGUAGCGCACGAAGUGGGAAGAAAUGGGCUACAUUUUCUACAAUAGAAUAUUACGAAUGGCACCCUGAAACAAAUGCCUGAAGGUGGAUUUAGUAGUAAAAAGCAAAUAGAGAGUCCUUUUGAAUUAGGCUCUGAGACGCGCACACACCGCCCGUCACUCUCCCCUCAUAUAUUAAAUUCAAACCCAAUAUUCCUAAUUAAAUAUUUUCCAACACGGGGAGGCAAGUCGUAACAUGGUAAGUGUACCGGAAGGUGCACUUGGAAUAAUCA